rnacentral:rRNA from 1 species
UACAGAGGUCUCAAGCGUUGUUCGGAUUCAUUGGGCGUAAAGGGUGCGUAGGUGGCGCUGUAAGUCGGGUGUGAAAUUUCGGAGCUUAACUCCGAAACUGCAUUCGAUACUGCGGUGCUUUGAGGACUGGAGAGGAGACUGGAAUUCAUGGUGUAGCAGUGAAAUGCGUAGAGAUCAUGAGGAAGACCAGUGGCGAAGGCGGGUCUCUGGACAGUUCCUGACAUGAGGCACGAAGGCCAGGGGAGCAAACGGG